rnacentral:rRNA from 1 species
CCCUUAGAUGCCCUGGGCCGCACGCGCGUUACACUGAUGCACUCAACGAGCAUAUAACCUUGGCCGAGAGGCCUGGGUAAUCUUGUUAACAUGCAUCGUGAUAGGGAUAGAUUAUUGCAAUUAUUAAUCUUGAACGAGGAAUUCCUAGUAAUCGCAGAUCAUCAAUCUGCAAUGAUUACGUCCCUGCCCUUUGUACACACCGCCCGUCGCACCUACCGAUUGAAUGGUCCGGUGAGGACUCGGGAUUGUGGUUUGGCUCCUUCAUUGGGGCCUGACUGUGAGAACUUGUCCAAACCUUAUCAUUUAGAGGAAGGUGAAGUCGUAACA